rnacentral:rRNA from 1 species
UAGUAACGGCGAGUGAAGCGGGAUGAGCUCAAGCUUAAAAUCUCUGUGCCAGUUUGGCAUGGCGAAUUGUAGUCUAUAGAGGCGUUGUCAGUGCGGCUGUGCGGGGUAAGUUCCUUGGAAGAGGACAGCAUCGAGGGUGAUACUCCCGUUUGUACCUGUGCGGCUUGCGCGUACGACACGUUUUCUUCGAGUCGCGUUGUUUGGGACUGCAGCGCAAAGUAGGUGGUAAAUUCCAUCUAAAGCUAAAUAUUGGUGCGAGACCGAUAGCGAACAAGUACCGUGAGGGAAAGAUGAAAAGAACUUUGAAAAGAGAGUUAAAGAGUACCUGAAACUGCUGAAAGGGAAGCGAAUCGUAUCCAGUGUCUAUAAUCUGCGGCAUAUUUCAUUGGCGGCGGUGUGCGUGCUUUUGCGUCGGAAGCGGCUUUUGUUGCUCUGUGCUUUUGCUGUGCGCGCUGUUGCUGGUGCCCUGUGUUGCGGUGGGACGUCAGAGUCAGUUCGUAUGCUGCGGGAAAUGGCCGCCGAGGAGGUAGGUCAGGAUUUCGGUCUUGGCUGUUAUAUCUUGGUGGUUUGUUGUCGUGGUUGGGACUGAGGUGCCUACAAUGUGCUUUUGAGUGUGCCGGGUUCUCAUUUGGUGGACUGUUUGGAUAGCUUGCUAUGCUUGUGGUUUUUUCAUCGAGUGAUUGAGUCUGGUGGUAACUUAUUGCCGUUC